AUACGAAGGGGGCUAGCGUUGUUCGGAAUUACUGGGCGUAAAGCGCGCGUAGGCGGAUUGGUCAGUUAGGGGUGAAAUCCCAGGGCUUAACCCUGGAACUGCCUCUAAUACUGCCAGUCUUGAGUUCGCGAGAGGUGAGUGGAAUUCCUAGUGUAGAGGUGAAAUUCGUAGAUAUUAGGAAGAACACCAGUGGCGAAGGCGGCUCACUGGCCCGAUACUGACGCUGAGGCGCGAAAGCGUGGGGAGCAAACAGCAUUAGAAACCCUAGUAGUCC
rnacentral:rRNA from 1 species